rnacentral:lncRNA from 1 species
GUAUAUGGGAAUCUUUGUGUGGUGAAUAUCAUAGUGGUUCAUGAAAAAGAAGGGAUGAUAUUAUGAUACUAUUGACUCUUAUAAGCUCUAGAAAAGUUGUGGAAAGAAGAAGAAAAAAGAAAAAAGAAAAGAAAAAGAAAGAGAAAAAAAGUAUAAAGUCGAGUGUAUAUUGAGAUAUUUGUUUGAAAAUCGACUUUGUGUGUUGGAAAUAAAUGGAGAGCAUAAAAGAGUGUUUAGUUCUGUUUUGUGAUGAUUAAAUCCCUUGAGUUGUGUUGAUUAUGGUGAUAUAGUUGGGUGGAAGAUGGAAUUUAUUCCAU